rnacentral:rRNA from 1 species
UGAGGAAUAUUGCUCAAUGGGCGCAAGCCUGAAGCAGCAACGCCGCGUGGAGGACGAAGGCCUUCGGGUCGUAAACUCCUUUUCGGGGGGAAGAGAGAGGACGGUACUCCCGGAAUCAGUCACGGCUAACUACGUGCCAGCAGCCGCGGUAAAACGUAGGUGGCAAGCGUUAUCCGGAUUCACUGGGCGUAAAGCGCUCGCGGGCGGUCUGGAAGGUCCGUUGUGAAAUCUCCCGGCUCAACUGGGAGGGGGCGACGGAAACCGCUGGACUUGAGGGCCAGAGAGGGACACGGAAUUCCCGGAGUAGCGGUAAAAUGCGUUGAUCUCGGGAGGAACACCAGUGGCGAAAGCGGUGUCCUGGCUGGAACCUGACGCUAAAGAGCGAAAGCGUGGGGAGCGAACGG